rnacentral:tRNA from 1 species
GGUGUUCGAUUGGUAGAGCGCUCCACUUGUAAUGGAGAGGUCCCGGGUUCGAUACCCGGACCA